UCCUAAGGCUAAAUACUCUCUAGUGACCGAUAGUGAACCAGUACCGUGAGGGAAAGGUGAAAAGCACCCCGGAAGGGGAGUGAAAUAGAACCUGAAACCGUGUGCUUACAAGUAGUCAGAGCCCGUUAAUGGGUGAUGGCGUGCCUUUUGUAGAAUGAACCGGCGAGUUACGAUUUGAUGCAAGGUUAAGCAGUAAAUGUGGAGCCGUAGCGAAAGCGAGUCUGAAUAGGGCGUUUAGUAUUUGGUCGUAGACCCGAAACCAGGUGAUCUACCCUUGGUCAGGUUGAAGUUCAGGUAACACUGAAUGGAGGACCGAACCGACUUACGUUGAAAAGUGAGCGGAUGAACUGAGGGUAGCGGAGAAAUUCCAAUCGAACCUGGAGAUAGCUGGUUCUCUCCGAAAUAGCUUUAGGGCUAGCCUCAAGUGAUGAUUAUUGGAGGUAGAGCACUGUUUGGACGAGGGGCCCCUCUCGGGUUACCGAAUUCAGACAAACUCCGAAUGCCAAUUAAUUUAACUUGGGAGUCAGAACAUGGGUGAUAAGGUCCGUGUUCGAAAGGGAAACAGCCCAGACCACCAGCUAAGGUCCCAAAAUAUAUGUUAAGUGGAAAAGGAUGUGGCGUUGCCCAGACAACUAGGAUGUUGGCUUAGAAGCAGCCAUCAUUUAAAGAGUGCGUAAUAGCUCACUAGUCGAGUGACACUGCGCCGAAAAUGUACCGGGGCUAAACAUAUUACCGAAGCUGUGGAUUGUCCUUUGGACAAUGGUAGGAGAGCGUUCUAAGGGCGUUGAAGCAUGAUCGUAAGGACAUGUGGAGCGCUUAGAAGUGAGAAUGCCGGUGUGAGUAGCGAAAGACGGGUGAGAAUCCCGUCCACCGAUUGACU
rnacentral:rRNA from 1 species